ACAACGCCUAGCCCAUGCCACACCCCCACGGAACUCAGCAGUGAUUGACCUUGAGCCAUGAUUUACAACCUCGACUCAGCUACAGCGCAACAAUAGGCCGGUAAACUCCGUGCCAGCCACCGCGGUUAUACGGAGGGCCAAAAGUAACACCCAACGGCGUAAAUUGUGACUAGAGACCACAAACACCAUAAAGACGCUAAUACCUGCCGCACAGGCGUAAAAACCAAAUGCCCACAGGACCCCCCCACCCAGCGCCUACACAAGCCCCACCUUGACCCCACAAAAGCUAGGACACAAACUGGGAUUAGAUACCCUACUAUGCCAAGCCGUAACCCAAGAUAGACCUCCCCCCACCCACACUAUCCGCCAGAGAACUACAAGCACCAAGCCCGAAACUCAAAGGACUUGACGGUGUCCCACACCCCCCUAGAGGAGCCUGUCCUACAAUCGACAACCCACGAUAUACCCCACUUCCCUUAGAAAACUCAGCCUAUAUACCGCCGUCGCCAGCCCACCCUGUGAAGGAUACCACAGUGAGCAGAAUAGCCCCCAACCACUAGAACGUCAGGUCAAGGUGUAGCUAACAGGGAAGCAGAGAUGGGCUACAUUUUCUAGAUUAGACUAUCACCAAAAGUGCCAUGAAAAAGCACCAAAAGGAGGAUUUAGCA
rnacentral:rRNA from 1 species